UACGUAGGGGGCAAACGUUGUCCGGAUUUACUGGGUGUAAAGGGUGCUCAGGCGGUCUUGUAAGUCAGAAGUGAAAUCCUAGGGCUUAACUCUGGAACUGCUUUUGAUACUACAAGGCUUGAAUAUGGAAGAGGAGGAUGGAAUUUCUGGUGUAGCAGUGAAAUGCGUAGAUAUCAGAAAGAACACCAGUGGCGAAGGCGGUCCUCUGGUCCAUUAUUGACGCUAAAGCACGAAAGCGUGGGGAGCAAACAGG
rnacentral:rRNA from 1 species